rnacentral:rRNA from 1 species
AGAGUUUGAUCCUGGCUCAGGACGAACGCUGGCGGCGUGCCUAACACAUGCAAGUCGAACGGAGAUGUUGAUUUCGGUUGACAUCUUAGUGGCGCACGGGUGAGUAACACGUGAAUAACCUGACCCAAAGAGGGGGAUAACAUCUGGAAACAGGUGCUAAUACCGCAUAAGACCACAAUGCCGCAUGGCGAAGGGGUCAAAGAGGAUCGCUUUGGGAGGGGUUCGCGUCCCAUUAGGUAGUAGGCGGGGUAAAGGCCCACCUAGCCGACGAUGGGUAGCCGAGCUGAGAGGCUGAUCGGCCACACUGGAACUGAGACACGGUCCAGACUCCUACGGGAGGCAGCAGUGGGGAAUAUUGGGCAAUGGGCGCAAGCCUGACCCAGCAACGCCGCGUGAGGGAAGAAGGUUUUCGGAUUGUAAACCUCUGUCGCAGAAGACGAAGGAAGUGACGGUAAUCUGUGAGGAAGCCCCGGCUAACUACGUGCCAGCAGCCGCGGUAAUACGUAGGGGGCGAGCGUUGUCCGGAAUUACUGGGCGUAAAGGGAGCGUAGGCGGUUAAUUAAGUUAGAUGUGAAAUACCCGGGCUUAACUUGGGGGGUGCAUCUAAUACUGGUAUGCUUGAGUACAGGAGAGGAAAGCGGAAUUCCUAGUGUAGCGGUGAAAUGCGUAGAUAUUAGGAGGAACACCAGUGGCGAAGGCGGCUUUCUGGACUGUAACUGACGCUGAGGCACGAAAGCGUGGGGAGCAAACAGGAUUAGAUACCCUGGUAGUCCACGCUGUAAACGAUGGAUACUAGGUGUAGGGGCUAAAGUCUCUGUGCCGGAGUUAACGCAUUAAGUAUCCCGCCUGGGGAGUACGGCCGCAAGGCUGAAACUCAAAGGAAUUGACGGGGACCCGCACAAGCAGCGGAGCAUGUGGUUUAAUUCGAAGCAACGCGAAGAACCUUACCAGGGCUUGACAUCCCUCUGAAGUCAGCUAGAGAUAGCAGUCGUUACCCUUCGGGGUACAGAGGUGACAGGUGGUGCAUGGUUGUCGUCAGCUCGUGUCGUGAGAUGUUGGGUUAAGUCCCGCAACGAGCGCAACCCUUAUUCUUAGUUGCCAACACUUAGGGUGGGGACUCUAAGGAGACCGCCGGGGAUAACUCGGAGGAAGGUGGGGAUGACGUCAAAUCAUCAUGCCCCUUAUGUCCUGGGCUACACACGUGCUACAAUGGCCUGUAACAGAGGGUAGCGAAGGCGUAAGCUGGAGCCAAUCCCAGAAACCAGGUCUCAGUUCGGAUUGUGGGCUGCAACUCGCCCACAUGAAGCAGGAGUUGCUAGUAAUCGCGGAUCAGAAUGCCGCGGUGAAUACGUUCCCGGGUCUUGUACACACCGCCCGUCACACCAUGGAAGUCAGGGGCACCCGAAGCCGGUGGCCAAACCGUAAGGAAGGAGCCGUCGAAGGUGAACUUGAUGACUGGGGUGAAGUCGUAACAAGGUA